rnacentral:rRNA from 1 species
AUUGAACGCUGGCGGCAGGCCUAACACAUGCAAGUCGAGCGAGCGGCGGACGGGUGAGUAAUGUAUGGGGAACUGCCCGAUGGAGGGGGAUAACUACUGGAAACGGUGGCUAAUACCGCAUACCAUCGGAUGUACCCAUAUGGGAUUAGCUAGUAGGUGGGGUAACGGCUCACCUAGGCGACGAUCUCUAGCUGGUCUGAGAGGAUGAUCAGCCACACUGGAACUGAGACACGGCCCAGACUCCUACGGGAGGCAGCAGUGGGGAAUAUUGCACAAUGGGCGCAAGCCUGAUGCAGCCAUGCCGCGUGUAUGAAGAAGGCCUUAGGGUUGUAAAGUACUUUCAGCGAGGAGGCGUUACUCGCAGAAGAAGCACCGGCUAGCUCCGUGCCAGCAGCCGCGGUAAUUC